UACGAAGGGGGGCUAGCGUUGCUCGGAAUCAUUGGGCGUAAAGCGCGCGUAGGCGGCCCUGUAAGUCCGUUGUGAAAGUCAAAGGCUCAACCUUUGAAAGCCGAUGGAUACUGCAGGGCUAGAGUCCGGAAGAGGCGAGUGGAAUUCCUGGUGUAGCGGUGGAAUGCGCAGAUAUCAGGAGGAACACCAAUAGCGAAGGCAGCUCGCUGGGACGGUACUGACGCUAAGGCGCGAAAGCGUGGGGAGCGAACAGG
rnacentral:rRNA from 1 species